AUGAAAUGCAAGGGCGCUCUUUUUAGAGGUCCGACUCUUUUCAUUUUCCUUACACUGUGAACCAGAAUUUUUACACCUUUUUUAAACGCAUUGAUUCUAAGAAUGUCACGAGUCUCUUAAUUGAGCAUAAAACUAGUA
rnacentral:misc_RNA from 1 species